rnacentral:rRNA from 1 species
ACGGGGGGAUCCCAAGUGCCAUUCUUAACGGGAUGGCUUUUCAUUAGUGUAAAGAGCUUUUGGAAUAAGGGCUGGGCAAGACCGGUGCCAGCCGCCGCGGUAACACCGGCAGCUCUAGUGGUAGCAGUUUUUAUUGGGCCUAAAGCGUCCGUAGCCGGUUUAAUAAGUCACUGGUGAAAUCCUGUAGCUUAACUGUGGGAAUUGCUGGAGAUACUAUUAGACUUGAGACCGGGAGAGGUUAGAGGUACUCCCAGGGUAGAGGUGAAAUUCUGUAAUCCUGGGAGGACCGCCUGUUGCGAAGGCGUCUAACUGGAACGGUUCUGACGGUGAGGGACGAAAGUUAGGGGCGCGAACCGGAUUAGAUACCCGGGUAGUCCUAACCGUAAACGAUGCGGACUUGGUGUUGGGGUGGCUUUGAGCUGCUCCAGUGCCGAAGGGAAGCUGUUAAGUCCGCCGCCUGGGAAGUACGGUCGCAAGACUGAAACUUAA